rnacentral:lncRNA from 1 species
UGGACUUGGCCAUUAGAUGUCGCGCCCGCCUCGCCAGCAAGGAAGACGCGGCAACCGGAGUUCUUCUGACAGUGCUUUAAUGGGGUUCCCUUUAGACUUACAUGAUACGGAAGACCCUGAGCACAAGCUCUCACACACUUAUAUACUCUAAGGAAGGAGGGAAGUGAUGGGGAUAGGUUAAAGGCACGCGAGGGUUAUUACUGAUAGGCCAAGCUAAGAUCCUUCAUAUGCAUACUUGAUGAGACAGGAAAAGCCCCUACACCUGCGCGGUUCACCCUGUUUAUCAGUCCUGUAGUAUCGGCGUGACCAGAAAGCCGGUGCCAUCUUGAAAUGGCGUUAACACCGCGCCCCACAUCUCCCCCUGUUUUAUUAAUUAAUGAGAACUGAGCAACCAAGAUCAAAGUCGCACCUGUGUUGACAGUCCCAGUUCCAUGCAAAGGCUGGCGCUAGGGUCAGAGGGUCCCAAGGCCAGCCCACUCUUUCAGGUGCUGAGUGGCUUGAUGAAUCCACGUUGCAAGGGCCUUAACUACGCCGGCUGGCAGGUUAUAACUACGCUGGCUGGCAGGUUAUGCGGUCUGCAGGGUUGUGCUCAAAGCUACAGCCAACGCUGCGGCAGCCGUAGCGAUAGCUGCAACAAUUGCAGCCGUGAUUCCAAAUAGCAGGUGUCUCAGAUAAAUUCUGACCGAAAAAAAGGCCAUCUCCUCUGUCCUCUGCGUCUUUUCUCCCUUCUCUCCCUUUUCUCCUCCUUUCUUUCUCUCCCCUUUCUCCUCCUUUCUUUCUCUCCCGGAAGAGAUUCUUUCGUCGCUCCUUUCUCCUCUCUUCUCUCGCUCCCCUUUCUUCCUCUCU